GUGGCUGCUCCGCCAGGGUCCUGUGGGUGGGAGAGAGGCUCCGCGACCGCUGGUGGCCGGAGUCCCUCCGUGUUGUGCUAGAGAUGCUUUUCCUCUCGUUUCAUGCAGGCUCUUGGGAAAGCUGGUGCUGCUGCUGCCUGAUUCCAGCCGACAGAUCUUGGGACCGGGACCGGGGCCGGCGCUGGCGGCUGGAGAUGGCGGACACGAGAUCCGUGCACGAAACCAGGUUUGAGGCGGCGGUGAAGGUGAUCCAGAGUUUGCCGAAAAAUGGUUCAUUUCAGCCAACAAAUGAAAUGAUGCUCAAAUUCUAUAGCUUCUAUAAGCAGGCAACUGAAGGACCCUGUAAACUGUCGAGGCCUGGAUUCUGGGAUCCUAUUGGAAGAUAUAAAUGGGAUGCUUGGAGUUCACUGGGUGAUAUGACCAAAGAGGAAGCCAUGAUUGCAUAUGUUGAAGAAAUGAAAAAGAUUCUUGAAACUAUGCCGAUGACUGAGAAAGUUGAAGAGUUGCUACAUGUCAUAGGCCCAUUUUAUGAAAUUGUAGAAGACAAAAAGAGUAGCAAAAGUUCUGACUUAACCUCAGUCCGACUGGAGAAAAUCUCUAAAUACUUAGAAGAUCUUGGUAACGUUCUAACUUCUACUCCAAAUGCCAAAACUGUUAAUGGUAAAGCCGAAAGCAGUGAUAGUGGAGCUGAGUCUGAGGAAGAAGAGGCCCAAGAAGAAGUGAAAGGAGCAGAACAAAGUGCUACUGAUAAGAAAAUGAUGAAGAAAUCUGCAGAUCAUAAGAAUUUGGAAAUCAUUGUUACUAAUGGCUAUGAUAAAGACGCCUCCACUCAAGAUAUACAGAAUGACAUUCAUGCCAGUGCUUCCUUGAGUGGGAAAAAUGCUGAAGAAAUAAAGGCUGUAGAUGAAAAUUCGGAGCAAACUGGAAAAACUGCUGUCUGCAUUCACCAAGAGAUAAAUGAUGAUCAUGUUGAAGAUGUUUCAGGAAUUCAGCAUUUGACAAGUGAUUCAGACAGUGAGGUCUACUGUGAUUCCAUGGAACAGUUUGGACAAGAAGAGUCUUUAGACAGCUUUACGUCAAACGGCAGACCAUUUCGAUAUUACUUGAGUGGUGAUCCCAAUCAGCCCUUGGAAAGUCCUGGUUUUCCUGAAGAUGUUCAAGGAUCUCCGGGAAAUGGCAACAUUGGGGAUAUGCAGGUGGUAGCAGUUGAAGGAAAAGGUGAAGUAAAGCAUGGAGGAGAAGAUGGCCGAAGUAACAGUGGAGCACCACACCGUGAGAGACGGGGUGGAGAAAAUGAGGAAUUCUCUAAUGUCAGAAGAGGGAGAGGGCAUAGAAUGCAACACUUGAGUGAAGGAUCCAAGGGUCGGCAAGUGGGAAGUGGAGGUGAUGGGGAACGCUGGGGCUCAGACAGAGGGUCAAGAGGCAGCCUCAAUGAACAGAUUGCUCUCGUCCUCAUGCGCCUGCAGGAGGAUAUGCAGAACGUCCUUCAGAGACUUCAUAAACUGGAAACGCUAACUGCUUCGCAGGCAAAAUCAUCAACAUUACAGACCAGUCAUCAGCCUCCCUCACAGAGACCAUCUUGGUGGCCCUUUGAGAUGUCUCCUGGUGCAUUAACUUUUGCUAUCGUAUGGCCUUUUAUUGCCCAGUGGUUGGUGCAUUUGUAUUAUCAAAGAAGGAGAAGAAAACUGAACUGAAGAAAAUGGUAUUUUACUCCAGAAGAUUACUGGGCCUGGAUGACCUCAGAAUGAAAUGGAAUGUGGAGCUCACAAGAGUAUCUUAACUGUUUGUGAUGAUUACACUUCUUUUUGUCGUCCAGUAGUUUGGUUUGUGUACAUAUAUACAUAUAUAUAUUUUGCACUACACAAAUAUAACAUUUUAAGGACUAAUAUUGCUGAUACUUGAAUAACUAAUCUCAACUAGGCUACAAGUAGCAUACAUAGACUUACCCUGCCCUUAAACUUGAAGGACAUUAAAUUAUUAAUGAUUGUUUGGUAACACGUUUACCUGAUUAUCUCCCAUAGAGAACUAUAAGCUGCUUUUCCAAGGUACAGUUGUGAUAAUGAGAUCAGAUUUAUAACUGGAUAUUUUUAAUUUUCUAAAUUAAAUAUGAGAAAGAAUGCAAACCAGGAGUGAACUUCAAAUGAGUUAAAUCAACUUUCGAUCCUAGUCACUGAAUUGCCAUGCCAAGGAGCAGAAAACUGCUGGAAGAAUCUUCUCUACGUCCACUUUGUGAGCUGCCCGUAAUUUCUCUUGGGCGUUCACAGCGCUGACUUGAGUGUUCAGGCGUCAUUACUACAAAGUAGAGCCCUAUGUACCAGGCUUACUUUUUACAGAUGAACACAGAAUAGACAUAACCUGCUGAUGGGAAUGAUGAACGGGCUUCAAGUAGGUCUGAAAGUAUACUCUGAGCCUGUAGAUCAUUGACAAGAUUUUAUUCAACCGUAUACAUUUAUUUCUUUGUAAUCAUUUUUCUUUAACUGAGGAUAUCUUGUUUCUGCUUCAUAGGGUGCUUUGAAAUAUAAGAUGAAAACUUAUUUAUACUGUUUUUACAAAGGUCAAAAAAGGAAACACAUGAGAAUCACUUUUCUGUAACUGGUAAACUACACAGACUGGACUCUUAACCUCCUAGUGCCUCCGUUUUUCCUUUGGGGUAUAAUCUUUGAGAUACACCUAUUUCACAGGGGUCAUGGAAGGAUUUGCAAGCUAGCGGGCCAUAUGCUUCCAUAUGAAUAAGGCACAUCCAACUAAUGUAAACUUAAAUGUCCUUCCCCCAGCUCCCAUUUAGAACUAAAAAAAAAGACUGCAAUUUAGAUCCUUGAAGGCUUUGUUUGGAAUUAUUCUUCCUGUCUGCGCCCCAGAACUUCACUCAUUUAGAUGUCCCUUGUACUUUAAAGAUUUCUUUCAUUCGAAGGCGUACUAGCAAAUAAUUUUUAGGCAUUCUUGGUAUGUGUGAUGUUGGGUUAAGCAUCAUGUGUUCAGAGUGUUUUCAAUAAGAAAGAAACCCAUCCCUCACAUAGAGGAUGGUUCUGUGUUUGCCUGAAGAAAAAAAGUGUAAGAAUACAAUUUGCUUUCCUCAAGAAUCUUUUUUUCCUUAUUUUUUUCUUUCAUGUAACUUGGUGUUUUUUAUUUUUUAAUCACAUCUUGAUUAAAAUGUGUCUAUCUAAUAUUUGCUUUUUAAAAACUGUCCUCUAUUUAUUUAGGGGGAAAAUGAAGCAAGUAACUGAAUUAUAUGUAAAAAUAAGGUUUAGACCUGUGGAUCAGGGAUUAUUUUCAAAAAUUAGAUAUCAAUUUGGUAUCAGAAAAUGGUGGCUUUUCUCUUAGUAAAUAAAUAAAUUAAAUGCAAAUUAAGAAUGAAGCAAUUGUGAUUUAUUACAGGCAAUGGGAAGUAACUAACUCCUAGGGAUAAUCAUUUGUAUCCUAUUCCAAAGUCUUAUUUUAUAGUUUGAAAAGCACUUUGCACACAGUUCCUUGUAUAUACAAGUAAAGAUGUAAUUAUAGGAUAUAGUGUUACUGCUUUGUUUAACAAGAAACUCAUUUAAAAUUUUAAAUGGACAGCUGGUAUUUUUUUAAUGAUCUACUUCUUUUCUGUUUCUUUAUUGUAAAACUAAGUUAAAAAUAAAAGGUUAAUGAGAAAUGA